rnacentral:rRNA from 1 species
AACGAACGCUGGCGGCAUGCCUAACACAUGCAAGUCGAACGGGAUCCUAGCUUGCUAGGUGAGAGUGGCGGACGGGUGAGUAACACGUGGGAAUCUGCCUUUUGGUUCGGGAUAACCGCGGGAAACUGCGGCUAAUACCGAAUGCCCUCGAGAGAGGAAAGAUUUAUCGCCAGAAGAGGAGCCCGCGUCCGAUUAGGUAGUUGGUGGGGUAAAGGCCUACCAAGCCGACGAUCGGUAGCUGGUCUGAGAGGAUGAUCAGCCACACUGGGACUGAGAUACGGCCCAGACUCCUACGGGAGGCAGCAGUGGGAAUAUUGGACAAUGGGGGCAACCCUGAUCCAGCAAUGCCGCGUGAGUGAUGAAGGCCUUAGGGUUGUAAAGCUCUUUUGCCAGGGAAGAUGAUGACUGUACCUGGAGAAUAAGCCCCGGCUAACUUCGUGCCAGCAGCCGCGGUAAAU